GACCCUUUCGUCUAGUGGUUAGGACAUUGCUCUUUCACGGCAAAGAUACGGGUUCGAAUCCCGUAAGGGUCA
rnacentral:tRNA from 1 species